GACGAACGCUGGCGGCGUGCUUAACACAUGCAAGUCGAGCGGUAAGGCCCUUUCGGGGGUACGACGAGCGGCGAACGGGUGAGUAACACGUGGGUGACCUGCCCUCAGCUCUGGGAGUAAGCCUGGGAAACCGGGGUCUAAUACUGGAUAUGACUCCAUGACGCAUGUUGGUGGGGGUAGGAAAGCCUUGUGCGGCUGAGGA
rnacentral:rRNA from 1 species